rnacentral:rRNA from 1 species
UACGUAGGGGGCUAGCGUUGUCCGGAUUUAUUGGGCGUAAAGAGCGUGUAGGCGGCCAAGUAGGUCCGGUGUGAAAACUCGAGGCUUAACCUCGAGAUGUCAUCGGAAACCAUUUGGCUAGAGUCCGGAAGAGGGAAAGUGGAAUUCCGACGUGUAGCGGUGAAAUGCGUAGAUAUGUGGAGGAACACCAGUGGCGAAGGCGAACUUUCUGGCCUAUAACUGACGCUG